AAAGUCGUAACAAGGUUUCCGUAGGUGAACCUGCGGAAGGAUCAUUAUUGAAUAUUCUAGAUGGGUUGUAGCUGGCUCUUCGGGGCAUGUGCACGCUUGUCUUGACUUUAUUCGUCCACCUGUGCACCUUUUGUAGUCUUGUGGGUUGAGAGCGGUCAACUAUCGGACAGCUAUUACAGCCGCUCCGGAUGUGAGGAAUGCUGAGUGCAAAAGCAUACAGCUCUUCUCUACGAUUGCAAUACCUCUCCCUCGAGUACUAUGUAUUCAUAUACCACUUGUAUGUUGUCGAAUGUGAUCAAUGGGCUUAUAUGCCUAUAAUAAUCAUAUACAACUUUCAGCAACGGAUCUCUUGGCUCUC
rnacentral:misc_RNA from 1 species